rnacentral:rRNA from 1 species
GCUUAGCCCUAAACCUAGAUAGUUAACCCAAACAAAACUAUCCGCCAGAGAACUACUAGCAACAGCUUAAAACUCAAAGGACUUGGCGGUGCUUUACAUCCCUCUAGAGGAGCCUGUUCUAUAAUCGAUAAAUCCCGAUAAACCUCACCAUCUCUUGCUAAUUCAGCCUAUAUACCGCCAUCUUCAGCAAACCCUAAAAAGGAAGAAAAGUAAGCACAAGUGUCUUAACACAAAAAAGUUAGGUCAAGGUGUAGCCUAUGAGAUGGGAAGCAAUGGGCUACAUUUUCUACAAUUAGAACACCCACGAAAAUCCUUAUGAAACUAAGCAUUCAAGGAGGAUUUAGCAGUAAAUUU